GGCAUUACGCCGGCAGAACGGAUUACAUUGAUGUUGUAAAAUAUGAGAUAAAUUCUUUAAUGCCU
rnacentral:tRNA from 1 species